AAAUUGAAGAGUUUGAUCAUGGCUCAGAUUGAACGCUGGCGGCAGGCCUAACACAUGCAAGUCGAACGGUAACAGGAAGCAGCUUGCUGCUUCGCUGACGAGUGGCGGACGGGUGAGUAAUGUCUGGGAAACUGCCUGAUGGAGGGGGAUAACUACUGGAAACGGUAGCUAAUACCGCAUAACGUCGCAAGACCAAAGAGGGGGACCUUCGGGCCUCUUGCCAUCGGAUGUGCCCAGAUGGGAUUAGCUAGUAGGUGGGGUAACGGCUCACCUAGGCGACGAUCCCUAGCUGGUCUGAGAGGAUGACCAGCCACACUGGAACUGAGACACGGUCCAGACUCCUACGGGAGGCAGCAGUGGGGAAUAUUGCACAAUGGGCGCAAGCCUGAUGCAGCCAUGCCGCGUGUAUGAAGAAGGCCUUCGGGUUGUAAAGUACUUUCAGCGGGGAGGAAGGCGAUAAGGUUAAUAACCUUGCCGAUUGACGUUACCCGCAGAAGAAGCACCGGCUAACUCCGUGCCAGCAGCCGCGGUAAUACGGAGGGUGCAAGCGUUAAUCGGAAUUACUGGGCGUAAAGCGCACGCAGGCGGUCUGUCAAGUCGGAUGUGAAAUCCCCGGGCUCAACCUGGGAACUGCAUUCGAAACUGGCAGGCUAGAGUCUUGUAGAGGGGGGUAGAAUUCCAGGUGUAGCGGUGAAAUGCGUAGAGAUCUGGAGGAAUACCGGUGGCGAAGGCGGCCCCCUGGACAAAGACUGACGCUCAGGUGCGAAAGCGUGGGGAGCAAACAGGAUUAGAUACCCUGGUAGUCCACGCCGUAAACGAUGUCGACUUGGAGGUUGUGCCCUUGAGGCGUGGCUUCCGGAGCUAACGCGUUAAGUCGACCGCCUGGGGAGUACGGCCGCAAGGUUAAAACUCAAAUGAAUUGACGGGGGCCCGCACAAGCGGUGGAGCAUGUGGUUUAAUUCGAUGCAACGCGAAGAACCUUACCUACUCUUGACAUCCAGAGAACUUAGCAGAGAUGCUUUGGUGCCUUCGGGAACUCUGAGACAGGUGCUGCAUGGCUGUCGUCAGCUCGUGUUGUGAAAUGUUGGGUUAAGUCCCGCAACGAGCGCAACCCUUAUCCUUUGUUGCCAGCGGUCCGGCCGGGAACUCAAAGGAGACUGCCAGUGAUAAACUGGAGGAAGGUGGGGAUGACGUCAAGUCAUCAUGGCCCUUACGAGUAGGGCUACACACGUGCUACAAUGGCGCAUACAAAGAGAAGCGACCUCGCGAGAGCAAGCGGACCUCAUAAAGUGCGUCGUAGUCCGGAUUGGAGUCUGCAACUCGACUCCAUGAAGUCGGAAUCGCUAGUAAUCGUGGAUCAGAAUGCCACGGUGAAUACGUUCCCGGGCCUUGUACACACCGCCCGUCACACCAUGGGAGUGGGUUGCAAAAGAAGUAGGUAGCUUAACCUUCGGGAGGGCGCUUACCACUUUGUGAUUCAUGACUGGGGUGAAGUCGUAACAAGGUAACCGUAGGGGAACCUGCGGUUGGAUCACCUCCUUACCUUAAAGAA
rnacentral:rRNA from 3 species